AAUCAGCACUCCAGAGAUGGACAUUGGGAAUUCAGGGGGGAAAACUGCUUUUCUCUCUUCCCAUUUCCUCCCCCAGGAUGACUUCUUUUUCUGGACCCAUUCUCACACUCACCAUCAGCCCUGGAGAUGCAGGUAUUCUGGGUGCUCACACCAGUACCUGCACCGCGGGACAGAGAGGGUUUUGGUUAGAGGGAUAACGCCCUGCUCACCCACAUUUUCCUGCCCAUGUCCUCAUAAUGGAGUAGGAACUAUUUCGUCUGUGUUUUUGCAUACUGUAUCUCCUCCAUCUCCUUAGCAUACCCAAGCCCAGUUCAGAUGUGUUUUCAGUUCCAGAUGCAGUCUCCUCAAAUUCAAAAUCAGACAGCAUUCUAAACUCUCGAAAUUUUGCUAUGUGCCUACAUUCUGUUCCUACUCAUCUUCACCCUCAGCACCAUCCAAAGUCUGUUUCUGUUCUGCUCCAGGCACGGUUUCCAGCUCCCCACAGCAUCCCCAACUCACCGACCACCACCAGCAGCAGGAAGGCAGGGACACGAGGAGACGGCAUGGCCCAUUCCGACUGCCCCCGCAUCUUUUGGAGAUCUCCCCUCACGGUGCGUGCUUUGCUAUGAGCUGGGUGCAGAUGGUCACAGGUCUGUGUUGCGAGCUUACAACCCGUCCUGUGGUGUUUCUGCAGCUGACGGAGAGUUAUUCACAGCGAGAGGCUGUGAUGCAGCCCAUGUUGCAUCUGUUGCGUCUGCGGAGCAACCGCUUUUAUUUCGGGACAUGAGACACCUCAACAUGGUCCGUGUUUCCUGUUUAUUGAAGGGAGGAAACUUCUCCCUUCUCCCUCUUCUCUCCACCUCUUCUUGCUGAGCCUGGCCUCUUUCUGCAUGUGGUGACCCACCGGUCUCUUUGGGUCAGCUCUCCUCCGUGCUCUGUCUCCUCCCAACCUCCUGACUACCCCCAGUCUAUCACAGAGUCCUAAAAGAGAAUGGUUUGAUUUGGAAGGAACCCUUAAGAUUCUGCAGUUAACCAUAGAAUCAUGGAAUCCUACGUCCUCAUUCAACCUGCCCCUGAGCACUCCCAGGGAUGGGGCAUGUACUACUUCUCUGGGCAGCCUGUGCCAGUACCUUACCACAUUGAAUCAAGAAUUUCCUCCUAAAACCUAACCUUAUUUACCCCUCUUCUAGUUUAAAACCUUUCUCUUUGUCCUGUCAUAAUCAAACCGUGCAAUCAAUCACUGUACAUCUUGUUUACAAGAUUCCUUGAAAUACAACCUCUCUGUGUCAGGCAGGGCACCUCUUCUGUGCUUUCGCCAUAUUCUCACUGAUCCUUUACUAUUCUGACUGCAUUCUCAGCCCAACCUCACCCUCUAGGGACAAUCCCAGUCGUGAGAAGCCUGGAAGCAACCCAGCGACUUCAGUGCUGCAACACACUCUCCAUCACCGGCAGAACUCCACCAGCCAAAAGCUUCUUUGCACUCAUUAUCACUGAUGUUGUCACCACAAGGAAAUGUCAUUUCAUUUACAUUCCUUGCAGCAAAAGUGAACCAGUGCCUCUCCCCACUUCCCUGUCCCACAAGACAGUUUCUCUGGGCUCACAAUUG
ensembl:lncRNA